AAGGGGUCGGUUUGUGGGAGGAAGAGGGAGCUGGAGCUCAGCCUCUUGCGCGCAAGCACCAGGCACAACAGCACAACGGACACCCAGAAGCAUGCUGAUGAGAGGGAAGCGGGCCGCAGGAAAAGCUACCCAACUAUAAAUUCGGCCUCCAGUGGAGGAAAGGGGAUGAGGAAACUGAGACUCAGAGCCAUUGACUGCUUGUCCAGAGCAAUCAGGGGAGGCAAGAUCUGAACACCUGCUGCCAGGAGGAUCCUGUGAGCUUCUCCUCACCUGGAGAUCAUUCUUCACCUGCCGUGAACAAGAACUUGGAGUCCAGUAUCAUCUUUCCGGUGCCAGAAGGAUGGAGAGAGAGAUCAACAGGUGAACAGAUGAACAGAUAGGUGGAUAGGAAGGCCGCAGGCUCUAAGAAGUGGUGGAUCGCUGCUAUCAAGGAGCCGCCUCAAGCAGGGAUGGCCUGGGGCAGAAGAUGCUAAGGGAAGGAUGGGGUGGGGGGGCUGGAAGGGGGGGUUCUCUCCACCCCCUUCACCACUUUAGCCAGACCGCCUCCUCCUCUACGUCGGAUUAUAAAUUGAUUUUAUGAACCCAAUAUGUUGUUUGAAUCAGAGUUCUGGGGGGUGUGUGUGUGUGUGUGUUUUAAGCCACUUAACUAAUGAAGAGAAACAAGAGGCCCAGAGGGAGGCGGUUUGCCCAGGAUUGUACAAGUGCAUCCACAGAAUCCUGCCGAACAGAACUCCUGGGUUCAGAUUCAGGAAUCCAAGCACUUCUUUUGAAAGGGGCUGGGGGCGCUGCCCCCCAACGGGGUUAUACCCUGGCUCACCUCCAGCAGCCACAGUGGGAAGUCGCCAGGCUCCUUGAAACAACAUUCCACCAGGACAGGAACAGACGGAUAACUCAGGCCCAAUUAGGAGCCGAAAAAUC